AAAGGAGAGAAGAAAGAAAAAAAGGAAGAAAGAAGCUGUAACAUCUCGUAUGCAACCAGAUGUUGUUUUAAAUUUUUCUGAUCACAGUGGAAGUGGAAAUCCUCUCUGUGGAGCCCCAAGCUCUUUCCUCACCCUUCUCCACUCUGCUCCAUGUUCCUGGGCCUGCACGAAUGAUCUGCAUCGAUGGGCUCUCUAGCCCUCUGGCUUCUGAGAUUACCUUCCUCCACAUAACUCCAAAGUUGUUCCUACAGGGAAAUCUAUUCCAGCCCACCUUCAACCCUCCUGCCUACACUUGUUCUUGAUGACUUCCUGGCCACAGGCACUGUUCCCCUGCUAGCCUGUCCUGGCCCUCUCAACACUCAUCCAUAGUCCAACAGCACUGAAACCCAUACACUUUAUGGAUCUGACUGAGCCAC